rnacentral:rRNA from 1 species
ACUCCUACGGGAGGCAGCAGUGGGGAAUAUUGCACAAUGGGGGAAGCCCUGAUGCAGCCAUGCCGCGUGUGUGAAGAAGGCCUUCGGGUUGUAAAGCACUUUCAGUAGGGAGGAAGGUAGUGUAGUUAACACCUGCACUAUUUGACGUUACCUACAGAAGAAGCACCGGCUAACUCCGUGCCAGCAGCCGCGGUAAUACGGAGGGUGCGAGCGUUAAUCGGAAUUACUGGGCGUAAAGCGCAUGCAGGCGGCCUGUUAAGUCAGAUGUGAAAGCCCGGGGUCUUAACCUCGGAAUUGCAUUUGAAACUGGCAGGCUAGAGUCUUGUAGAGGGGUUAGAAUUUCAGGUGUAGCGGUGAAAUGCGUAGAGAUCUGAAGGAAUACCAGUGGCGAAGGCGGCCCCUGGACAAAGACUGACGCUCAGAUGCGAAAGCGUGGGAGCAAACAGGAUUAGAUACCCCGUGUAGCACAGA